rnacentral:snRNA from 1 species
AACUUUGUGUAAUGGCGGUAUUGUAACCAAUGAGGUUUAUCUGAGGCACAAUUAUUGUUAACUGAAGAAGAAAGAAACCGUGC